rnacentral:rRNA from 1 species
GACGAACGCUGGCGGCGUGCUUAACACAUGCAAGUCGACAUGAGUGGCGAACGGGUGAGUAUUACGUGGGUACCCUGCCCUCCUUUUUGGGAUAAGCCUUGGAAACGGGGUCUAAUACCGAAGUAAGGGGGAUGGGCUCGCGGCCUAUCAGCUUGUUGGUGGGGUGAUGGCCUACCAAGGCGGUGACGGGUAGCCGGCCUGAGAGGGUGACCGGCAACGUUGGGACUGAGAGACGGCCCAGGGACGUACGGGAGGCAGCAGUGGGGGAUAUGGCACAAUGGGCGAAAGGCUGAUGCAGCGACGCGGAGUGGGGGAUGAGGGCUUUCGGGUUGUAAACCUCUUACGCUAUCGAACCGGUAGGUGGAGAAGAAGCGCCGGCUAACUACGUGCCAGCAGCCGCGGUAAUUC